UACGUAGGCAGCAAGCGUUGUUCGGAGUUACUGGGCGUAAAGGGUGCGUAGGCGGUUUGCCAAGUUUGGUGUGAAAUCUCCCGGCUUAACUGGGAGGGUGCGCCGAAAACUAGCAAGCUAGAGUGGGGGAGAGGAGAGUGGAAUUCCUGGUGUAGCGGUGAAAUGCGUAGAUAUCAGGAGGAACACCGGUGGUGUAGACGGCUCUCUGGACCCUAACUGACGCUGAGGCACGAAAGCGUGGGUAGCAAACAGGAUUAGAUACCCCUGUAGU
rnacentral:rRNA from 1 species